UACGGAGGGGGCGAGCGUUAUUCGGAAUCAUUGGGCGUAAAGGGCGCGUAGGCGGCCCCGUAAGUCUUGGGUGAAAGCCCUCGGCUCAACCGAGGAAUUGCCUUGGAUACUGCGGGGCUCGAGGCUGGAAGAGGGCAGUGGAAUUCCCGGUGUAGCGGUGAAAUUCGUAGAUAUUGGGAAGAACACCGGUGGCGAAGGCGGCUCACUGGCUCAUUUCUGACGCUCAGGCGCGACAGCGUGGGGAUCAAACAGG
rnacentral:rRNA from 1 species